rnacentral:sRNA from 1 species
UCGGAGAGUCUCGGAGUGCCGGCGCGUC